rnacentral:rRNA from 1 species
UGGGGAAUAUUGGACAAUGGGCGAAAGCCUGAUCCAGCAAUGCCGCGUGUGUGAAGAAGGCCUGCGGGUUGUAAAGCACUUUCAGCAGGGAAGAAAAACCCGGAGCCAAUACCUCCGGGGAUUGACGUAACCUGUAGAAGAAGCACCGGCUAACUCUGUGCCAGCAGCCGCGGUAAUACAGAGGGUGCGAGCGUUAAUCGGAAUUACUGGGCGUAAAGCGCGCGUAGGCGGUUGGGUAAGUCGGAUGUGA